rnacentral:rRNA from 1 species
CGCCAGGGCCGCGGCCUAUAAUGCAAGACGAACGGGAUUGAGAAGCUUGCUUUUCAUGAGAGUGGCGCACGGGUGCGUAACACGUAUGUAACCUACCUUAAUCUGGGGGAUAGCCUCUCGAAAGAGAGAUUAACACCGCAUAACAUUACCGGACAGCAUUUUCUGGUAAUCAAAUAUUUAUAGGAUUAAGAUGGGCAUGCGGAACAUUAGCUAGUUGGUAAGGUAAUGGCUUACCAAGGCUACGAUGUUUAGGGGAUCUGAGAGGAUGACCCCCCACACUGGUACUGAGACACGGACCAGACUCCUACGGGAGGCAGCAGUAAGGAAUAUUGGUCAAUGGGCGCAAGCCUGAACCAGCCAUGCCGCGUGCAGGAAGACGGCCCUACGGGUUGUAAACUGCUUUUGUACCGGAAUAAACCUUUUCACGUGUGAGAAGCUGAAUGUACGGUAAGAAUAAGGAUCGGCUAACUCCGUGCCAGCAGCCGCGGUAAUACGGAGGAUCCAAGCGUUAUCCGGAUUUAUUGGGUUUAAAGGGUGCGUAGGCGGUUCUUUAAGUCAGGGGUGAAAGACGGUAGCUUAACUAUCGCAGUGCCUUUGAUACUGAAGAACUUGAAUACACUUGAGGUAGACGGAAUGUACAAGUAGCGGUUAAAUGCAUAGAUAUGUCACAGAACACCAAUUGCGAAGGCAGCUUACUAAAGUGUCAUUGACGCUGAGGCACGAAAGCGUGGGGAUCAAACAGGAUUAGAUACCCUGGUAGUCCACGCCCUAAACGAUGAAUACUCGAUGUUGGCGAUAUACGGUCAGCGUCUAAGCGAAAGCGUUAAGUAUUCCACCUGGGGAGUACGCCCGCAAGGGUGAAACUCAAAGGAAUUGACGGGGGCCCGCACAAGCGGAGGAGCAUGUGGUUUAAUUCGAUGAUACGCGAGGAACCUUU